rnacentral:misc_RNA from 1 species
AAGUCGUAACAAGGUUUCCGUAGGUGAACCUGCGGAAGGAUCAUUACCGAGGGAGGGGCUCCGCGCCCCCGGGGGUUUCGGCCCCCAACUCUUCACCCACUGUUUACCUACCUUUGUUGCUUUGGCGGGCCCUGGGGCACGCCCCACGCUGGCUUUCGGGCCUGCGAGCGCCCGCAGCCAAUAGUCCUUAAUCUUAGUGUCCGAGCAAAAAACACAAUAGUAAAAA